AAUCAACGCUGGCGGCGUGCCUCAGACGUGCAAGUCGAACGAUUAAGACUCUCUUCGGAGAGUGCAUAAAGUGGCGCACGGGUGAGUAACACGUAAGUAAUCUACCUUUGGGUGGGAAGUAACAGUCGGAACGACUGCUAAUACCGCAUAAUGCAGCGGCUCCUUAUGGAGACAGUUGUUAAAGAUUUAUCGCCUAAAGAGGAGCUUGCGGCAGAUUAGCAGUUGGUAAGGUAACGGCUUACCAAGGCGACGAUCUGUAUCCGACCUGAGAGGGUGGUCGGGACACACUGACACUGAAUAACGGGUCAGACUCCUACGGGAGGCAGCAGUCGGGAA
rnacentral:rRNA from 1 species